CUGCUGCCUUCCGUAGGAGUUUGGACCGUGUCUCAGUUCCAGUGUGGGGGACCGUUCCUCUCAGAACCCCUACGCAUCGUCGCCACGGUGGGCCGUUACCCCGCCGUCUAGCUAAUGCGCCGCAUGCCCAUCCUCUUCCGAUGAAUCUUUCCUCGAUCUCGGAUGCCCGAAACCGAUAUACGCGGAUUAGCCUCCCUUUACGGAAGGUUGUCCCCCUGAAGAGGGCAGGUUGCAGUACGUGUUACUCACCGUGCGCCGGUCGCCGG
rnacentral:rRNA from 1 species